rnacentral:rRNA from 1 species
CAAAACAUUUACUAGCCCAAGUAUAGGUGAUAGAAAAGACACAACGAGCGCAAUAGUUGUAAGUACCGCAAGGGAAAAAUGAAAGACCAAUUUAAAGCACUAAAAAGCAAAGACUAAGCCUUAUACCUUUCGCAUAAUGAUUUAGCCAGAAACCACGGACCAAAAGCAUUAAGCCCGCCACCCCGAAAUCAAGUGAGCUACUACAAAAUAGCACCCAGAGCCAACUCUUCUAUGUAGCAAAAUAGUGAGAAAAUUUUAUAGUAGUGGUGAAAAGCCUACCGAACUUGAAGAUAGCUGGUUAUCCAAAACACGAAUUUUAGUUCAACUUUAAAUUUAAUAAAAGUACUACUAAACUCAACUUAAAUUUAAAAGCUAAUCAAAAGGGGUACAACCCUUUUGACCUAAGUAGACAAACUUCCUUAGAGGACAAUGACACAUAAACAUACAUUGUAGGCCUAAAAGCAGCCAUCAAUUAAGAUAGCGUUAAAGCUCAAACCUUAAAACAAAUUUAAUUCCUAAAAUUACACCAAAAUCCCUAAUAUCUAUUAUUGGAUGACUCUAUAAAUCUAUAGAAGACAUACUGCUAAAAUUAGUAACAAGAAAAUUUUCUCCUAGCACAAGCCUAAAUUAGCAACGGAACUCCCACUAACAAUUAACAAAACAAUAAAAAAAACUAUUAACUAGACCCAUAUGACAUCCAUUGUUAACCCAACACAGGAGUGCAUACCAAGGAAAGAUUAAACAGAAUAAAAGGAACUCGGCAAACUUUAACCCCGCCUGUUUACCAAAAACAUCACCUCUAGCAUGACAAAUAUUAGAGGCAACGCCUGCCCAGUGAGAAUAACUUCAACGGCCGCGGUAUCCUGACCGUGCAAAGGUAGCAUAAUCACUUGUCCCUUAAAUAGGGACUAGUAUGAAUGGCAUCACGAGGGUUAGACUGUCUCUUAUUCCCAAUCAGUGAAAUUGACCUCCCCGUGCAGAGGCAGGGAUUAACCUACAAGACGAGAAGACCCUGUGGAGCUUAAAAUCAAUAACUUAUAGUCAACUAGAUUAAACCAUAAAUGGACAAACAAACGACUCUUUAAGUUAUGACUUUUGGUUGGGGUGACCUCGGAGCACAAAACAACCUCCGAACAACAUUACCAAGAUUAACACAUCUAAGUGUAACAAACCUGCAAUUGACCCAAACAUUGAUCAACGGACCAAGUUACCCCAGGGAUAACAGCGCAAUCCUAUUUAAGAGCCCAUAUCAACAAUUAGGGUUUACGACCUCGAUGUUGGAUCAGGACAUCCAAAUGGUGCAACCGCUAUUAAAGGUUCGUUUGUUCAACGAUUAAAGUCCUACGUGAUCUGAGUUCAGACCGGAGAAAUCCAGGUCGGUUUCUAUCUGUAUAUUUAUUUCUCCCAGUACGAAAGGACAAGAGAAAUAAGGCCAACAUAGCCUACAAGCCUUAAUAAUAAGACAUGAAUACAUCUAAAUAUCCUACUACAACAAUUAAAUGCUCUAGAAAAGAGUC